CUGUAAGCCUGCGAAGGUGGCCUGUGAGGGUUGCUGGAGGUAUCAGAAGUGCGAAUGCUGACAUAAGUAACGAUAAAGCGGGUGAAAAGCCCGCUCGCCGGAAGACCAAGGGUUCCUGUCCAACGUUAAUCGGGGCAGGGUGAGUCGACCCCUAAGGCGAGGCCGAAAGGCGUAGUCGAUGGGAAACGGGUUAAUAUUCCCGUACUUGGUGUUACUGCGAAGGGGGGACGGAGAAGGCUAUGUUGGCCGGGCGACGGUUGUCCCGGUUUAAGCGUGUAGGUGUGUGUUCCAGGUAAAUCCGGUUCACUUUAACACUGAGGCGUGAUGACGAGGCACUACGGUGCUGAAGCAACAAAUGCCCUGCUUCCAGGAAAAGCCUCUAAGCAUCAGGUAACAUCAAAUCGUACCCCAAACCGACACAGGUGGUCAGGUAGAGAAUACCAAGGCGCUUGAGAGAACUCGGGUGAAGGAACUAGGCAAAAUGGUGCCGUAACUUCGGGAGAAGGCACGCUGACACGUAGGUGAAGUGAUUUACUCAUGGAGCUGAAGUCAGUCGAAGAUACCAGCUGGCUGCAACUGUUUAUUAAAAACACAGCACUGUGCAAACACGAAAGUGGACGUAUACGGUGUGACGCCUGCCCGGUGCCGGAAGGUUAAUUGAUGGGGUCAGCGCAAGCGAAGCUCCUGAUCGAAGCCCCGGUAAACGGCGGCCGUAACUAUAACGGUCCUAAGGUAGCGAAAUUCCUUGUCGGGUAAGUUCCGACCUGCACGAAUGGCGUAAUGAUGGCCAGGCUGUCUCCACCCGAGACUCAGUGAAAUUGAACUCGCUGUGAAGAUGCAGUGUACCCGCGGCAAGACGGAAAGACCCCGUGAACCUUUACUAUAGCUUGACACUGAACAUUGAGCCUUGAUGUGUAGGAUAGGUGGGAGGCUUUGAAGUGUGGACGCCAGUCUGCAUGGAGCCGGCCUUGAAAUACCACCCUUUAAUGUUUGAUGUUCUAACGUGGACCCGUGAUCCGGGUUGCGGACAGUGUCUGGUGGGUAGUUUGACUGGGGCGGUCUCCUCCUAAAGAGUAACGGAGGAGCACGAAGGUUGGCUAAUCCUGGUCGGACAUCAGGAGGUUAGUGCAAUGGCAUAAGCCAGCUUGACUGCGAGCGUGACGGCGCGAGCAGGUGCGAAAGCAGGUCAUAGUGAUCCGGUGGUUCUGAAUGGAAGGGCCAUCGCUCAACGGAUAAAAGGUACUCCGGGGAUAACAGGCUGAUACCGCCCAAGAGUUCAUAUCGACGGCGGUGUUUGGCACCUCGAUGUCGGCUCAUCACAUCCUGGGGCUGAAGUAGGUCCCAAGGGUAUGGCUGUUCGCCAUUUAAAGUGGUACGCGAGCUGGGUUUAGAACGUCGUGAGACAGUUCGGUCCCUAUCUGCCGUGGGCGCUGGAGAACUGAGGGGGGCUGCUCCUAGUACGAGAGGACCGGAGUGGACGCAUCACUGGUGUUCGGGUUGUCAUGCCAAUGGCACUGCCCGGUAGCUAAAUGCGGAAGAGAUAAGUGCUGAAAGCAUCUAAGCACGAAACUUGCCCCGAGAUGAGUUCUCCCUGAGACUUAGAGUCUCCUGAAGGAACGUUGAAGACGACGACGUUGAUAGGCCGGGUGUGUAAGCGCAGCGAUGCGUUGAGCUAACCGGUACUAAUGAACCGUGAGGCUUAACCUUACAACGCCGAAG
rnacentral:rRNA from 1 species